rnacentral:rRNA from 1 species
CCCAGAAAAAAUCUGAGGCGCAACCUGCCCAAUGGUUCAAAAAGAAAGAAAUAAAAUCUUAAAAAGAAUUAAAAGGACGCAGUAUACUGACUGUGGUAAAGUAGCAUAAUCAAUCGCCACUUAAUUAGUGGAUAGUAUGAAUGGUUAAACGAAUCCUUCACUUUCUUAAAAAAAGAAAAAUGAAAUUUAGAUAAUAGUUAAGAUGCUAUUUAAAAUUGUAAGACGAAAAGACCCUAUAGAGCUUAACUACAAGCCCCAAAAAAGGGGCUUAGGUAGUUUAGUUGGGGCGACUAUCUUUUAAAAAUAACAAAGAUAAGCAAGGUUAAUAAAAGAAAACUUAUUGUAAAACACAUAAGUUUAACAAUUACCAAAGUAGGCAUAAAGACCCGUUAUGAAACCAAAAAAAAGUAACGAUCAAUAAAUAAAAGCUACCUUAGGGAUAACAGAAUAAUUUUGUCUAAGAGACCGCAUCCAAAACAAAGUUUGUCACCUCUAUGUUGAAUUAAGGUAACCUGACAAAGCAGAAGUUGUCUAAGGUAGGUCUGUUCGACCUUUAAAAC